rnacentral:rRNA from 1 species
AUUGAACGCUGGCGGCAUGCUUUACACAUGCAAGUCGAACGGUAACAGGCCGCAAGGUGCUGACGAGUGGCGAACGGGUGAGUAAUGCAUCGGAACGUGCCCAGUCGUGGGGGAUAACGCAGCGAAAGCUGCGCUAAUACCGCAUACGAUCUAUGGAUGAAAGCGGGGGACCGUAAGGCCUCGCGCGAUUGGAGCGGCCGAUGUCAGAUUAGGUAGUUGGUGAGGUAAAGGCUCACCAAGCCAACGAUCUGUAGCUGGUCUGAGAGGACGACCAGCCUCACUGGGACUGAGACACGGCCCAGACUCCUACGGGAGGCAGCAGUGGGGAAUUUUGGACAAUGGGCGCAAGCCUGAUCCAGCAAUGCCGCGUGCAGGAAGAAGGCCUUCGGGUUGUAAACUGCUUUUGUACGGAACGAAAAGGCUCUGGAUAAUACCUGGGGCUCAUGACGGUACCGUAAGAAUAAGCACCGGCUAACUACGUGCCAGCCGCCGCAGUAAUAC